UUUUUUUGCAUCCCCCUGGGGGACAAGGGUAGAUAUAAUCUUCGAGAGCUUUCUUUAACUCUGCAAUCAAACACUCUUCCCUUGUAAGCCCUGAGCAAUCAACAAUGUCAGGUGAUGCUGUAGGAUUAAUGGAAAAUGAGGCAUCUGGGUUAGAUCCUUCGCCAAUGUGACUGGCUAAAAUAAGUCUACUUUUAGUGUUUGCCACUACAAGCAAAGCCAAGAUGAUGAAACUAAGGCUCCUCGACAUAUUUAUGCUUCUUAGGUGAAUUAUUAGUAACUUAAUUAGAAGUAAAAGAGAUCUACGACAAUCAGGAUGGCAUAAGUCUCCAUUUAUAUGAAUGAAUAUUGAGAAACGUGUUGUUGUGACUUUAAUGGAAUUGAAAGAUUCCAUAAAUGAGGAUUAAAUAAAUUAGGCUAUGUUUGUUUAAAUUAACUAUUGACUUGAAUAUCAUGUUGCGUUAUGACGGCAAUUUUAACAUACAUUUAAUUAAUUCUAUCGUUUUUAGUGUUAUUUUUUUGUUUAGUUUUUUAUUAGAUUCAUUCUCAUUAUAUCAAUCGUCAAACUAUUUUUUUUUUAAUAUGUAAACACGUUUCUAUAAGCCACGCCCUCCAAUGAAAUUAACCACAUCCUAUUUUAAGCAAGCUAGUGACACAAUCAAUCCCAUAUAUUUGCAUGGAUAUAGAGUAAUAUUUUUAUAAAUUAAUAAUAAAGAAAUCACAAAACAUCUAUUAAUUUAAAGAGAUAUUGAUAUUAAUCAAUCAAUAAGUUGUAUAAGAGAUUAUGUUUUAUAAUUCUAUGGUCACAUUCUUACUACAAAAUAAUAAUUUGCUAGGCUUACAAACAUAAUUGUUAUAAUAUGUUAUUAAAUAAAACAUGAAUCUAUUAUUAUUUGUUUUUCUUCAAAUCUAAACAUAGUGGGAUCUCAUAUCUGAUAUUACUUAUUCUUGCUGAAUUCACAACUACAUGGAUUCUAUUUUUUUUUUUUUUGUUAAUUGUAAUCUAUAUUUAGGGGAUUAACUAACUUUGAAUUGGCUAGAUUGGUAAAAUACUAUGAAUUAUCUAGUUGAUUAAAUAUAUGUUCACUGAAUUGUAUAUACACAAUGAAUUAAUAGAUUAAUUUAGAUUAGUAUCCCUUUAUAUUAAUAGAUAUUAUAUGAUUAUGACAUUAUUAAUUUAUAGAGGCUUUAUUGUAUAUCCAUGCAAAUAUCUAGCAAUGUAUUGCGCCAUUUGCCUACCUAAAAUAUAGGUUGUGGUUAAUUCCAUUCGAGUACGUCGUUUCUAGAAAUAUUUUUACAUAUUGAAAAGAAUAGCCUAGCGAUUGAUAUAAAGAGAAAAAAAUUAAUAAUAAACUAAACAAAAUAAUACGAAAAAAUGAUAAAAUUAAUUAAAUAGAUGUUGAAAUCACCUUCAUAAUGCAACAAGAAAUUAAAAUCAACAGUUUAUUAAAACCAACGCAGCAUAAGUUAUUUAAACUUCAUUUUGAAUAUCUCUUUAUAUUAAUAGAUAUUGCAUGAUUUUGACAUUAUUAAUUUAUAAAGGCUUUAUUGAGCAAUCAAUAAUUUUAGGCGAUGAUGAAACUAAAAAUCUUUGACAUUUUUACAUUUCAUUAGUAGGUUGGCCACAAGCUUACCUCCAAGCACCUUAAUACGGUGACCAAAUUAAAGUAGCAUUAGUUAUUAGCUUCAUUGGACUCAUUAUCCACUUGUUGCUACUUUUCUAUUCAAUCCACACAGUAGGCUUGAAUCCCCCAGCUUGCUCAAAAGACUUAAUUUAUUGCCACAAGUUUUUUUGGCCACCCAAUUUGAGAAUUUGCUUCUUCUUUUUAUGAUGCUUCCCAUCUAAUAAGAGUGUGUGAUUAAGAACUUGUAUUUGUUUAAUUCAGAACAUCUCAAGAGCAUUACAAUAGAAAGACUGAAAAAGAAAAGCUGAAACUGACAACAUUGAUUAAAAUUCCUACUUGUUAUUCUUAGUAAUAACAACAUCUAGGUCUUAAAUUUGCAGGAGCCAACAUGAUGAAGCCUAUAUUUUGCAUCAUUAAAUGAUUAAUCUUAUUGUUAUCUCUGUUUUCACUAUUGUCUUAUCAAAAACAAUUUCUUACCAUACUAGCUGCAUAAAAAUUAACAAACUAACAUAUUAUCAUUUUAAGUCAUCAAUCAAGUAUAAAUAUUAUAUUAUUUAGUUAUAUAACAAGAAUAAAGAAAUAUCUAAAUUUCAAAGACAAAUCUUAAAUUAAAGCCAAACUAGCCAUCACAAAUAAAUAAAAUAAUACAUAUUUGUAUUUAGAAGCAACUGCUUGAAACAAUUUUGUAAUUACUAACAAGUUUUUCUUAAAUGAAAUAAAAUAACAUAAAAUAAACGAAAUUAAAAGCCAAUUUUUUUAUUUUCAAGUGAUGAAAUUAAAAUUAUGGUUACAAUUACAUGUGACUUCUGUUGUGCGACUUAGCCAACAAAUUGUCCAUUUACUUGCAUUAAUUUUUUUUCAUCUUGAACGCAAUUUGUGAAUCCGCCAUGACAACAUUGCAUCUAAUUAGAGAAAGACUUUUGUAUGUUUAGUAGAUGAGGUCAAUACGUGCCAGAAUAAUAGGAAAAUUUUGUUAUAUUAACUGGGCGAACUUCAAUUCAUUCUCCUGGCAAUAAAAAUCUUCAAUUUACCCUUCAAAAUCGUGAAAACCUCAACUUACCUAAAUUUUUGUUCAGAAGAUAAGCGUAAAUGAAUUUUUUAAUCUAUUUUUUUAGUAAUAAAAAAGGGUAAGAUGAUGUGUUCACGUUUCUUGGGGUAAAAUUGAUAUUUUCAUAAUUUAAAUUGAAGUCUAUACAUAAUUAGUUCAGGCAAUUAAAUUGAAUUUUUCCCUUAAAUUAACUCAAACAGUUUAGUAAUAUAAGAUUUCGAUAAAAUACAAGGGUUUUUUUUUUUCCCUUUUUGUGAGGAUGCAGCCUCACCCGAAGAGGAAAUGGAUUGAACGUUCAAAUAUUACUAGUACUAACACAGUAAUAAUGAUCAUUAUUAGUAUUUCAACAGAUUACUCUCUCAUAGAUUGAGUUAAUGAUUUGUAUACAACAAAAUAGCAUCACAUGCACGCACAAAAGGCACAUAUCAUAACAUUGCACACUCAUAAUGGAUUAGUUUCUUUUUUUUAUUAAGAUAUAGUUUCAAUUUCACUACACUUGAUCAUUGUUGCAAAAGCACUCAUAAAAGAUAAAAGAAAUAACUUAUUAUCAAAAUCAUUUGCAUCCCCCCGGGGGACAAUGAUAGAUAUAGUCUUCGAGAGCUUUCUUUAGCUUCGCAAUCAAACACUCUUCCCUUGUAAUCCCUGAGCAAUCAACAAUGUCUGGUGAUGCUGUAGGAUUACUGGAAAAUGAUGCAUCUGUGGUAGAUCCUUGGCCAAUAUAAUUGGCUAAAAUAAGUCUACUUUCAGUGUUUGCCACUACGAGCAAAGCCAAGAUGAUGAAACUAAGGCUCUUCGACAUAUUUCUAUUUCGUAGGUGAAUUAUCAAUAACUUAAUUAGAAGUAUAAGAGAUC
rnacentral:lncRNA from 1 species